rnacentral:rRNA from 1 species
AACGAACGCUGGCGGCAUGCCUAACACAUGCAAGUCGAACGGGAUCCUAGCUUGCUAGGUGAGAGUGGCGGACGGGUGAGUAACACGUGGGAAUCUGCCCUUUGGUCCGGGAUAACCGCGGGAAACUGCGGCUAAUACCGGAUGCCCUCGCGAGAGGAAAGAUUUAUCGCCAGAGGAGGAGCCCGCGUCCGAUUAGGUAGUUGGUGGGGUAAAGGCCUACCAAGCCGACGAUCGGUAGCUGGUCUGAGAGGAUGAUCAGCCACACUGGGACUGAGAUACGGCCCAGACUCCUACGGGAGGCAGCAGUGGGGAAUAUUGGACAAUGGGGGCAACCCUGAUCCAGCAAUGCCGCGUGAGUGAUGAAGGCCUUAGGGUUGUAAAGCUCUUUUGCCAGGGAAGUUGAUGACUGUACCUGGAGAAUAAGCCCCGGCUAACUUCGUGCCAGCAGCCGCGGUAA